rnacentral:lncRNA from 1 species
CACAAUUAAAAAGUAUUAAAAGCAUUACAUAGUGCAAACACCAAAAAGACAGAGCUAUUAACUUAGUGGUGCUUAUAAGGAAAACUAGGCAAGAAUGCAGAAAAUGCCUUCCUCUUUCCUCAUCUAGUGAGCUGGCCACAUUCAAUAAGUUGUUGUUAUUAUUAUUAUUAUUAUUAUUAUUAGCGAAAGACUGAAGUUUUAUUAUUACUCAAUUCAGUCUCCCAAAAAGUUAUUUUAAAUUGCUGCUUUCUUCCCACUUGAUGAAACCACAUUUGCUGCUCUUGUGAUUCUCUGAUCGGAAAUAUUUGGAAAAUUUCAUGUUUUCUAUAUAUUGACAGUGCAUUUUAUGCCACCUACUCAAGUGUAUGUAGAAAGAGAUGUUUUGGGCCAGGAGCAGUUGCUCACGCCUGUAAUCCCAGUACUUUGGGAGGCCAAGGCGGGCAGAUCGCCUGAGGUCAGGAGUUCAAGACCAGCCUGGCCAACAUGGUGAAACCCUGUCUCUACUAAAAAUACAAAAUUAGCCAGGUGUGGUGGUGCACGCCUGUAGUCCCAGCUACUUGAGAGGUUGAGGCAGGAGGAUCGCUUGAACCCAGGAGGCGGGGGUUGCAGUGAACCAAGAUUGCGCCACUGCAUUCCAGCCUGGGUGACAGAGUAAGACUCUGUCUCAAAAAAAAAAUUUUUUUUUGUACAUCAAGACCACAGCAAGGUGGUUUUAUCAGGAUAGAAUGUACUAUCCAAAUUUACAAACUUCUCUCAGAACACCUAGAGAAAGAACUCUUUUCUGGUCAAGAGCCUCAUAUCAAAGAAAGAAUACCUAAACUAGAAGCAUGGGUAAAAGGGCCUGCAGUAAUCAAACAGGCUCUGCCAGGCAGGCAAUAAAGGGGAGCUAGUGCUCAGCUUCCAGAACAUGAGGUAUUCUGAAUAUAUACCCCAGAGCUUGGUACACCAAGAGCAUAAUAGGUUCUUAGAUCUCUUCAAGGAAAUUUAUAGGCUUCAGAAUUGCUCUCCCGGAUUUAAUCCCUACAACAAAUGAUGAGGUAGAAAAGGGUAGGUAUGUAUACUGCUUUUUAUAUAUGAGAAAAACUGAGGCAUACGGACGUCAAGACUGGCACUCAAUACUUAACUCUACCUCUACCCAAGAGGCACUUAAUAGUGCAUAGCUAGAGACUAAAGAAAGUCAUAUUCAAGGUUGCUAUGAGGUCUACCUUGCCAAGUGCUGAGGAAGCCAAGAAGCAUUUCAUCCCUCCUUUGAAACAUUUCCUGUUGAUUUUAAAAGGGGGAAAAAAAAACCCAAAAGAAACACUUCGAUUCUCAUUGAAAAGAAAGUGAAAAAAUGAGGCAAACUACAGAGAAAAAAAUAAUUCUGUAAGAAGGAAGCCUGACCUCAAUUUCUUUGAGACAGCGUCUCUGUCACCCACCUUGGAUUGCAGUGGUGCCAUCUCAGCUCACUGCAACCUCCACCUCCCAGGCUCAAGCGAUCCUCCCACCUCAGCCUCCUCAGUAGCUGGGACAAGCAUGCACCCACCAUGCCCAGCUUUUUUUUUGUAUUUUUGGUAGAGACAGGGUUUCACCAUGUUGCCCAGGCUGGUCUCGAGCUCCAGAGCGCAAGCAAUCUGCCCACUUUGGCCACCCCAGUGCUGGAAUAACAGGAGUGAACCACCGCGCCUGGCCUGACCUCAAUUUCUUAGUGCUGAGACAACAGGGGAGCUAACUCCCUAUCCCCCAUCACACACAGAAAGGAAGCCUCAACUACGAGUUGUUACUUUAUUAGAUAGUAGCUCUGCCAUCACAGCUUCCCAUCUACCGCCUAACUCUGCAACAGAAACAUUUCCCAGGACUGACUGGAAAGAGGAAUCUUAUCUAAAGAUACUGUAGUUACAAGGGCUGAUAAGGGUCUUUGGUAUAAAAGCAAUAUCCAGAAAUAAGAUAAUUAACUUUGGAACUAAGGGGAUAUAAAUGACACAGUAAAGGUGGAAGGGUUUUUUUUUCUUAAGGGAGACCAGAGUUUUAUUAUUACUCAAAUCAGUCUCCCAAAAAGUUACUUUAAAAUGCUGUUUUCUUCCCACUUUAUGAAACCACAUUUGCUACUGUUGACAGGGGACUAUCUGAUCAGAAAUAUUUGUCUGUUGACAUCAGUACUUAACUGUUUAAAAAAAAAAACAGUGCCUUCAGAUAAGAAAUUAGGGGCUCUAAUAAGAUGUUAUAAUGAUAAAUGUCCUUUUUUUUGAGACAGAGUCUCUGUCACCCAGGUGGGAGCGCAGUGGUGCAGUCUCGGCUCACUGCAACCUCCACCUCCCAGGUUCAAGCGAUUCUCCUGUCUCAACCUGCCAAGUAGCUGGGACUACAGGUGCACGCCACCACGACCGGCUAAUUUUUGUAUUUUUAGUAGAGACAGGGUUUCACCAUACUGGUCAGACUGGUCUCGAACUCCUGAGCUCAGGCAAUCCACCCACCUCGGCCUCCCAAAGUGCUGAGGUGGGCAGAUCACGAGGUCAGGAGAUCAAGACCAUCCUGGCUAAGACGGUGAAACCCCGUCUCCAAUAAAAAUACAAAAAUUAGCCAGGCGUGGUGGCGGGCGCCUAUAGUCCCAGCUACUAGGGAGGCUGAGGCAGGAGAAUGGGGUGAACCCGGGAGGCGGAGGUUGCAGUGAGCCGAGAUCGCGCCACUGCACUCCAGCCGGGGCGACAGAGAGAGACUCCGUCUAAAAAAAAAAAAAAAGAAAUGGAGAGUUCUACUAACUGUCCUGUGCUCCCAGAGGGGAUUCAAUGAGGAUCGUAAGAAGGAAAACAACCUGCAGGGGAAGCAGCAUCUUGGAUUUCAGAUAAAGUACCAAAAAAUAUUAGCUAUCUCUUUCUGCAGACAUGCCUCUUUCUCUGUUAACACUUUCAGUCAUUCAAAAGGCUAUUGGUAGAGGUGCAGCAAAUCCAAGUGUAGAUUUACUGUAACAGUUUAUUUAACUAUGCUGUAUUCACCAAUAACGGCAUUACCAAUAAUGGCAUUAGUGCACAUCAAAAGAUCUGAAAAUGCUAAUGGGACAUUUCCCACAAAAGGAAAGAAAUCCAAUGGCUCCUAUAAAGGGAGAAUAUAGCAAUGGCAAGCAGAAUGAAAAUUUCUGUCAAAAGAAAGUACUUCUCAAAGCAAUCAGGAAAAACUGUUCCCAAAUUAGGCCUGGGGAGCCACAUUAGCCACUAUCUCAGAUACUGAUUAUUUUGUUUAGCCUUAGGGGCCUCAAUAUUCCCCCUCAUCUGCUAAACUUCAACUUGUUUACUCACAAGUCUGAUAAAUUCCAGCCAAGUAACCUUAACAUUCCCUAUGGCAGUGCAAAAUUCCAGACAUUUGUAAACACUGUAAAUUUCACGUUUGGUACAUGAGACAGCUUACCGGUUCAUCUUUGAUUCUAAAAACAUAGCUAGUUCCUAAUCUAUGGCCAUUUUUAGCAAAGGUAGCAUCAGGAUCAAAACAUGCUUGCACACAUGCACACUCAUGACUGGGAGAACCAUCAGAACUAAUUGCUCGUUAGGAUAUAGUUCUGAACAAUUUAAGCAGAUAACUGACUAAAUGGAAAACAGAUUCACAGUAUCUAAAGCCAUAUAUCAGAAAUUCACAUAAUUCUGAGGGGAAAAAACUCAAAUAUCUAGUUAACAAUUGUCUUCCUUUCAAAAGCGAGUCAAGAGGUAACAUUACAUAGCUUUGUAUUAUAGAUCAGAAGAAUAUUCACCAAUAUAUCAAAGACUUCAAAAGGCAGCCAACAUUGCAUUGAAUUGACACACACAAAAUGUUACAAAUGACCUUGACCCUUAAAAAUAAAUUCUUACAAACCAAAUAAUACCACACAAUGCACUACAUACAUCUAACUAUACAUAAAUUAUAAUUAAAACACAACUGCAUAUUUCAAAUGCUUGGCAGUGACUCAAUCUUACAUUACAGAAGUUAGUGGCAGUGUGGAGGCUGGCAUGGCUCAACUCCAAUCCAUUGUACAAGCCUAGGAUUAGAAACCCAUACUAUUCCAUUGGUAGACUGGGGAAAUGGCAUACCAUAUUAAAGAUCUGGUCUAAGAUUUUUAUAAAGUUUGAUUUAAGCAUUAAAUAAAAAAGCAUACCAAUUACUGUGAAGUACACUGGAAGGAGAGUGAGUUAAUAUUCAGACAGAAGAACUUUUUAGCCGUAAUACUGAAAUUCAUCGUUGUUCUAAUGAUUUGUCAUCUCUGCUCUGAACUUUUCGCCCAAGAUAACAAUCAUAAAUAUUAAUUUGACAACUAAAACAAGAAAUCUGAUGGUAAUGUGGUGUGAUUUCAUUAUUCAUAGUCUACAGCACGUUGCAGCAGAAACAAGCUCCAAUGACACAGAUCCUUCCUCACAAUCAAGAUAUCAACUCGAACAAGGCUUACCUAUAACUAGGUGACCAUAUAAUUUAACAUCCAAAUGAAGAGGUUUGAAAGUGAAAGGGGACAUGCAGAAAGAAACCAGGUGGGAUGCAGAAAAAUGGGAGCAAUUUGGCAGUCUCCAGAAAACCAGAGCACAUGGUCCCAAUAACUACAGCUAAAAGGUAAAUGUCAGUAUUUGGAAGUUUCCUUAUAGCAGUAAACUCUGAACACUUCACAUAUAAACUAUGCCUUGCUUUAGUUUAGUGGCAGUGAGUAAAAAAAAUCUGUACCGCAGUGGCAAGGAAAAAAGAAAAUCAAAAACAGACCAAGAAAAUAGUUUAAGCUGGGCGCUGUGGCUCAUGCCUGUAAUCUCAGCACUUUGCGAGGCUGAGGUGGGUGGAUGACCUGAGGUCAGGAGUUCGAGACCAGCCUGACCAACAUGGUGAAACCAUCUCUACUAAAAAUACAAAAUUAGCCAGACAUGGUGGUGCACACCUGUAAUCCCAGCUACUUGGGAGGCUGAGGCAGGAGAAUCAUUUGAACCCGGGAGGCAGAGGUUGCAGUGAGCCGAGAUCACUCCACUGCACUCCAGCCUGGGCGACAAGAGCAAAACUCCAUCUCAAGUAAAAAAAAAAAAAAAAGAAAAGAAAAGAAAUAGUUUAAAGUUUCCUACAAGUAAAGAUGAAAUUCGGCUCAAGCACAUAUCUUAGGAUCGUCUAAGUACUUAGUGCUAACAGAAGCAGUGAAAAACCCCGGUGGGCAAGCAGGAAGAGUGAAGCUGAGCAGCCUAAGAGGAUUCUUUCAUGGGCAAUGAUGUGUCAAAUUUAGGAUCAAAUACCUAUAAACAUAAGUAAAAUGUUUACUUCUUAAGUUUUAUUAAAAAUUACAACUUGGCUGGGUGCGGUAGCUCACGCCUGUAAUCGCAGGACUUUGGGAGGCCGAGGUGUGUGGAUCAUGAGGUCAGGAGUUCGAGACCAGCCUGGCCAACACAGUGAAACCCCCAUCUCUACUAAAAAUACAAAAAUUAGCCAGGCAUGGUGGUAUGUGCCUGUAGUCCCAGCUAUCUGGGAGGCUGAGUAGCUGGGACUACAGGCAUGCACCACCAUGCCCAGCUAAUUUUUUGUAUUUUUAGUAAAAAUGGGGUUUCUCCAUGUCGGUCAGGCUGGUCUCAAACUCCCGACCUAGGUGAUCUCCCAAAGUGUUGGGAUUACAGGCGUGAGCCACUACGCCCGGUCCACGAUUUUUUUUUUUUUUUUUUUUAGCUCAUCAGCUAUUGUUAGUGUUAGUGUAUUUUAUGUGUGGUCCAAGACAAUUCUUCUUCCAUUGUGGACCAGGGAAGCCAAAAGAUUGGACACCCCUGUCUAGGGCAAGGAUUCCAAAAGUAUGUUCUGUAUAAAACUUGCAUAGAGAUUCCAGGAACACUUGUUCAAAUGCAAAUUCCUGGUCCAGAUCUCAAAGAUCAGUCUCUGCACGUUUGGACAUUUUUAACAAGCAACCCUCAUGAUUUUUAUGAUCCUUAAGUUUGACAAUUCUAGGGCCUUGGUCUUCAAAAUGACACAUGCAUACCCUUGAGAACACACCAACAUUUUCCCAUGGGGGUAAGGAUACAUGCAUAGCUCUAUGGAAACCAACUUAAAGAUGUCCAAUUUCCAUAUGUGUUGUCCUAAAAUAUGUGCUCUGAUGAGGCCUCUUCAGAUCUACCAUUUCUCUUUACCUCCCUUUUCACAACAGCCAUACUCCCUAUCCUCCAAAAAAAAAAAAAAAAAAAAAAAAAAAAAGAGGCUGCCUCUCAACCAUCCAGUAUAUCAAGGCGUAUUGCCUUGGUGUAAGCAGCUCCAGAGGCACUAAACAAAAGGAUCAAAAAAAAUCUAAAUGACUCCUAAGACGCAAAGAGGGUAGGGGGCAGUAGCUCAGGACUGCAAUCCUAGCACUUUGAGAGGCUGAGGCAGGAGGGUUGCUUGAGGCUAGAAGUUUGGGACCAGCCUGGGCAACAUGGCAAAAUGCUGUCUGUACAAAAAAUACAAAAUUCAGCUGGGCAUGGUGGUGGCACGCGCCUAUAGACCCAGCUACUUGGGAGGCUUAGGUGGGAGGAUUGCUUGGAUCUGGGAGGUCGAGGCUGCAGUGAACUGUGAUUGUGCCAGUGCACUCCAGCCUGGGCGACAGAGCAAGACCCUGUCUCAAAAAACAAAACAAAACAAAACAAAAACUGAUGCUUCUGAAGGCUGUGCCAGAGAAGUAUGUUUGUGUGUUUAUCUGAAUUAAAACCAAGACAUGUUCUGACGGAAGUUAAGUCUGAUUUGGCUAAUUAAAUUAAGAACAGACUUUGCCAGUUUAUAUGACAGGACUUUUUCUAUAAAUUUAAUCAGCUAAAUCUAUAGUCCCAGGGCUUUCAUAAAAAUAUCUUUGAGCCAAGCAUAGUGGCUCAAGGCUGUAAGCCCAACACUUUGGGAGGCUGAGGCGGGGGAAUCACUUAAACCCAGGAGUUCGAGACCAGCCUGGGCAACAUAACGAGACACCGUCUACAAAUUAUUUUAAUUAGCUGGGAGUGAUAGUGAAUGCCUGUGAGGGAAGCUGAGGCUGGAGGAUCACUUGAGCCCAGGAGGUGGGCCGUGUUUGCACCACUGCACUCCAGCUUGGAUGACAAAGUGAGACCGUCUCUCAAAAAAAAAAAAAAACUUUAAAGCACAUAUAUAAUAUGCAAUAUGUUGGAUAGUAUAUCCUUUGUAAGUACUUAAAUUUUAAAAAUUUAGAUUUCAGAUUAAAGUCUUGCAAAAGGGCCAGACUAGGUGCCUCAUGACUAUAAUCCCAGCAAUUUGGAAGGCUGAGGCGGGAGGAUUGUUUGAGCCCAGGAGUUCGAGACCAGCCUGGGCAACAUAGUGAGACUUCAUCUCCACAAAAAAUUAGCCAGUGUGGUUAUGCUAGUCUAUAGUCUCAGCUACUCAGGAGGCUGAAGUGGGAAGACCACUUAUGCCCAGGAAACCAAGGCUGCAGUGAGCCAUGAUCAUACCACUGCACUGCACUUCAGCCUGGGAGACAGAACAAGACAG